rnacentral:rRNA from 2 species
UACGUAGGGGGCAAGCGUUGUCCGGAAUCAUUGGGCGUAAAGCGCGUGUAGGCGGUUCGAUUAGUCUGCUGUGAAAGUCGGGGGCUCAACCCUCGAAUGCCGGUGGAUACUGUCGGGCUAGAGUGCGGAAGAGGCGAGUGGAAUUCCUGGUGUAGCGGUGAAAUGCGCAGAUAUCAGGAGGAACACCAAUUGCGAAGGCAGCUCGCUGGGACGUUACUGACGCUGAGACGCGAAAGCGUGGGGAGCAAACAGG